UCUGCUCACUAGCUAAAAAAUCACUUGCUAUCCAAAAACAAAUUGAAGAGAAUUUGGUUUCCCCAUUAUUUAUGAUGCUUCUCACUUCAUGCAGAGAUGUAAUUCUAAAAAAGGAUACAUGGAAGGUUUAAGAGAAUGUUGGGAUCAGGGAGGGGGCUGCUCGCUAUAGCAGCUUUGUUCAUUCCUACCAACUACUUGUUUGCGCUAGUUUUAGAGAAAACUGCUGUGGAAAACUCAUCCAGAAGUGGCAAGUGAAUCCACAACAUCACCACAAACUUAUUUUUAAUCCAGGCAAUGAAGAGGAAGAAGAGGAGAAGGACUGGGACAGACAAAGAGUGAAGGAGAAAGAUUAGGAAAGUACCUCCAAAUCCGAGGCAAUGGUCCUCAGUCGGAAAAGGGUGGCUUGCCCACUUCAGGUUGGUGGAGAGUGCCUGCCUCAAGUGGAGGAGUUUAAGUAUCUAGGGGUCUUGUUCACGAGUGAGGGAAGG
ensembl:lncRNA